CCUACGGGUGGCAGCAGUGAGGAAUAUUGGUCAAUGGUCGGAAGACUGAACCAGCCAAGCCGCGUGCGGGAGGACGGUACUGAGGAUUGUAAACUGCUUUUGUCAGGGAACAAAGGCGGGGACGUAUACCCGUAUGAGUGUACCUUACGAAAAAGCAUCGGCUAACUCCGUGCCAGCAGCCGCGGUAAUACGGAGGAUGCGAGCGUUAUCCGGAUUUAUUGGGUUUAAAGGGUGCGCAGGCGGUCUGUUAAGUCAGCGGUCAAAGCCCGGGGCUCAACCCCGGCCCGCCGUUGAAACUGGCAGUCUCGAGUUGGAGAGAAGUAUGCGGAAUGCGCGGUGUAGCGGUGAAAUGCUUAGAUAUCGCGCAGAACCCCGAUUGCGAAGGCAGCAUGCCGGCUCCACACUGACGCUGAGGCACGAAAGCGUGGGUAUCGAACAGGAUUAGAUACCCCGGUAGUC
rnacentral:rRNA from 1 species